ACCGGCUAACUCCGUGCCAGCAGCCGCGGUAAUACGGAGGGUGCGAGCGUUAAUCGGAAUUACUGGGCGUAAAGCGCAUGCAGGCGGCCUGUUAAGUCAGAUGUGAAAGCCCGGGGCUUAACCUCGGAAUUGCAUUUGAAACUGGCAGGCUAGAGUCUUGUAGAGGGGGGUAGGAAUUUCAGGUGUAGCGGUGAAAUGCGUAGAGAUCUGAAGGAAUACCAGUGGCGAAGGCGGCCCCCUGGACAAAGACUGACGCUCAGACUGCGAAAGCGUGGGGAGCAAACAGGAUUAGAUACCCUGGUAG
rnacentral:rRNA from 1 species